AUUUUUUGUUUUUUAAGGUACUGUUUCGGAUUCUCGCUCCUUCUCCGACUUAGUACUUGCAUUAGUAUAUUUGAAUAAUUAUGUCCCUUGACGACAAAAAAAGCGGAUUUUGUUAAUGAAUUUAUAUUGAACCAGACUAAGAUUGUACAUGAUGUAGUACCACAAGGGUUCCAGAGUUUUGUUUAUACAGGACAUUUGUACCUCAUACAAGUAUGUUGAGAGAAGUUCAGAACAAGCUAUUAUGUUUGAAGAGGAGUUGUCAACACGUCAUCAUUGAAUAAAGUCAGUUGUAUUAGAAGUGAAGCCUAAACAGAAAUGAGACAAUUAUCAAAUAAUUCAAAGACUACAUGGAUGUUAUCUGGACUAACAUUUGUAUGACCCAAAUGUGGUAUUUUUCAUAUGAAGACUUACAAGGCAAAUAAUUGGCUGUGGCAACAUGUGUAUGCAUUUAACAUGUUUAAAGACUUGAAGAACUUGUACUGCCUUCUUCAGAUUUCAGUAGAAUUUGUUUAAGACAGUAAAUUCUGAGUAUGAAUUGAAGAAUUUUUGCUCAUUUAAAUGAAUUAUGAAAAUGUUUUACAUCUUAAAUAUACAAAAACAACAUACCGGUAAAUU